rnacentral:rRNA from 1 species
GGGGGGGUAUUCUUUAAAAUAUUAAUUUUGUUUUAUUUGGAAUGGUUUAUUUUGUUUUUUCCUUUAUUGGGUUGAUUUUUCGGUUGGGUAGAUCAAAGUUUAAUUUUGGCUUGGUAUUUCAGUUAAUCUUUUUUUUUACAUG